rnacentral:rRNA from 1 species
GACGAACGCUGGCGGCGUGCUUAACACAUGCAAGUCGAACGGACAGGCCCUGCUUUUGUGGGGUGCUCGAGUGGCGAACGGGUGAGUAAAACGUGAGUAAACUGUCCUUGACUUUGGGGUAACUUCAGGAAACUGGGGCUAAUAUCGGAUAGGAGCUACUGCUGCAUGGUGGGGGUUGGAAAGUUUCGGCGGUUGGGGAUGGACUGGCGGCUUAUGCGCUGGUUGGUGGGGUAGUGGAUUACGAAGGCUUUGACGGGUAGCCGGCCUGGGAGGGUUACCGGGCACAAUGGGACUGAGGGACGGCCCAGUCUCCAACGGGACGCAGCAGUGGGGAAUAUUGCACAAUGGGCGGAAGCCUGAUGCAGCAGCGCCGCGUGCGGGAUGACGUCCUUCGGGUUAUAAACCGCUUUGGCCGGUAACGAAGCGUGAUUGACGGUAAUGGGUAAAGAAGCACCGGCUAACUACGUG